rnacentral:rRNA from 1 species
AGUGCAGGCGGCUUCGUAAGUCGGAUGUGAAAGCCCUGGGCUUAACCUGGGAAUGGCAUUCGAUACUGCGCGGCUAGAGUCUGAUAGAGGGAAGUGGAAUUCCAGGUGUAGCGGUGAAAUGCGUAGAGAUCUGGAGGAACACCAGUGGCGAAGGCGGCUUCCUGGAUCAAGACUGACGCUGAGGCUCGAAAGCGUGGGGAGCAAACAGGAUUAGAUACCCUGGUAGUCC